GGGGCCGUACCGGUUUCGACGGGGAUAAGGAAAUCGGAAUAGCGGGCAGAUGCGCCUACCAUCUCAAAAAUGGGCACUUAUAAAUUAAAGAACAACAACGAAACUGUUCUUCUCGCUGCUUAAGCAGUGAGCGUCGCCUCCGGAGGGGCCGCGGGCCGGAAGGCGGCGUCGAUUAGCGGCGUCCGUGAGCGCGCAAAGCUUUGAGCGCGCCAUGCAUAAUGAAGCUACCAAGCCGUUGAGCAUGAAGGCUUGCGCCUCGGCAAGGGAAUGUAAAUAACCUUCUGCGCCCGGAGAAGUUCCGGUGGAUGUAUUUUCGGACAGGGGUUCAAUUCCCCUCGGCUCCACCA
rnacentral:tmRNA from 1 species